GAUGAACGCUAGCGGCAGGCUUAAUACAUGCAAGUCGUGGGGCAGCAUGAAUGUAGCAAUACAUUUGAUGGCGACCGGCAAACGGGUGCGGAACACGUACACAACCUUCCUAUAAGUGGGGAAUAGCCCAGAGAAAUUUGGAUUAAUACCCCGUAACAUAACGAUGUGGCAUCACAUUGUUAUUAUAGCUUCGGCGCUUAUUGAUGGGUGUGCGGCUGAUUAGAUAGUUGGCGGGGUAACGGCCCACCAAGUCUACGAUCAGUAGCUGAUGUGCGAGCAUGAUCAGCCACACGGGCACUGAGAAACGGGCCCGACUCCUACGGGAGGCAGCAGUAAGGAAUAUUGGUCAAUGGACGCAAGUCUGAACCGGCCAUGCCGCGUGAAGGAUUAAGGUCCUCUGGAUUGUAAACUUCUUUUAUCUGGGACGAAAAAAGGCGAUUCUUCGUCACUUGACGGUACCAGAUGAAUAAGCACCGACUAACUCCGUGCCAGCAGCCGCCGUAAAAC
rnacentral:rRNA from 1 species